rnacentral:rRNA from 1 species
GAAGCUGGCGGCGCGUUUUAAGCAUGCAAGUCGCACGGCAAGGGGGACUUCGGUCCCCCCUAGAGUGGCGGACGGGUGAGUAACACGUGGACAACCUACCCUGCGGUCGGGGAUAGCCCAUGGAAACAUGGGGUAAUACCGGAUGCGACCGCCCCCGCAGAAGCGGGGGUGGGGAAAGGCGCCAAGGCGGCGCCGCAGGAUGGGUCCGCGGUCCAUUAGCUAGUUGGCGGGGUAACGGCCCACCAAGGCGACGAUGGAUAGCCGGCCUGAGAGGGCGACCGGCCACAUUGGGACUGAGACACGGCCCAGACUCCUACGGGAGGCAGCAGCUAAGAAUCUUCCGCAAUGGACGCAAGUCUGACGGAGCGACGCCGCGUGAACGAUGAAGGCCGUGAGGUUGUAAAGUUCUUUUCCGGGGGAGGAAUAAGGAUGGCAGGGAAUGGCCGUCCGAUGACGUGAACCCGGGAAUAAGCCCCGGCUAACUACGUGCCAGCCGCCGCGGUAAUUC